UACGGAGGAUGCAAGCGUUAUCCGGAAUGAUUGGGCGUAAAGCGUCCGCAGGUGGCAUAUCAAGUCUGCGGUUAAAGGUUCUGGCUCAACCAGAGACAGGCCGUGGAAACUGAUAAGCUAGAGUAUGGUAGGGGCAGAGGGAAUUCCCAGUGUAGCGGUGAAAUGCGUAGAGAUUGGGAAGAACACCGGUGGCGAAAGCGCUCUGCUAGGCCAAAACUGACACUGAGGGACGAAAGCUAGGGGAGCGAAUGGG
rnacentral:rRNA from 1 species